rnacentral:rRNA from 1 species
CGUGUAGGCGGUCGGUCAAGUCCGGUGUGAAAGCCCGGGGCUCAGCUCCGGGAGUGCAUCGGAAACUAGCCGACUUGAGCGCGAUAGAGGAGGGUGGAAUUCCUGGUGUAGCGGUGAAAUGCGUAGAUAUCAGGAGGAACACCGGCGGCGAAGGCGGCCCUCUGGAUCGUUGCUGACGCUGAGACGCGAAAGCGUGGGGAGCAAACAGGAUUAGAUACCCUGGUAGUCCACGCUGUAAGCGAUGGGUACUAGGUGUUCGGGGUGUUGACCCCCUGAGUGCCGACGCUAACGCAUUAAGUACCCCGCCUGGGGACUACGGCCGCAAGGCUAAA